ACAGACAGACAGAUAGAUAGUUAGAUGCUGAGAUUCAUUAUAAGGAAUUGGCUUGCUUGAUUAUGGGGGCUGAGAAGUCCCGUAAUCUACCAUUUGCAAGCUGGAGACUCAGGAAAGCUGGUGUUAUAAAUUCCAGGCUGAGCCUGAAGAUCUGAGAACCAGGGGAGCUGAUGAUGUAAGUCCCAGGCCAAGGGCAGGAAAAGACCAAUGUCUCAGCUCUCACCACUGGGUAGAGAUAGAAUUCAACUCUCCUCCACCCUUUUGUUGUAUUUGAGGUCUGAACAGAUUGGAUGAUGUCCACCCAUACUGGGGAGAGCAAUCUGCUUUACUCAGUUUACCAAGUCAAAUGUUAAUCUCUUCCAGAGACACCUUAACAGAUACACCUAGAAAUAAUAUGUAACCAGGUAUCUGGCCCAGUAGAGUUGACACAUAAAAUGAACCUGCAUGAAUCUAUCCUUUGUCAACUUGGCACCCAUAAGCACCUCCUUAAACCAUACUUAAUCUCCAGAUAAAGACAAGAACAAGUUCAUAAUUCCACCUAACGUGAUGCAACUCUCCUGCAUUCAAUAAAAAAUACACUAGCCCCUUUCCUAGAAAUAAGGUAAAAUCCUUGAUAUCUUUUUCCUUGAUAUUACCUAACUAAAAAUACUAUGAUGUAAAAUUAACAAUGCUUAAAUACUAUGAUAUUUAGUCAAAAUUUCUUACGUUGCAUGCUAAGGGAAUAAGAGAAGAAAUAAAACAAAGCUAUUUAUAUAUAAUUAAUUAAUAUAAAUAAUAAAUAUAAUGCACACAUAUUCAUAACAAAGGAAGGAGGAAGUACUCAUGAUAAUUACAAUUCUUGUGUCUGUAACUGGUCACAGGGCCGUAGCAGGUAUUUAUAACUACCUUCUUCCACUACUCUCUCUGAAUUCUCUUUGCCUUCAGCAAGCAUCCCAGUUGGUCAUAUGUAUUUACCUGGGAGAGUGACCCAACUCUUCAUUCCUGAAGAAUCUAGGCUGUUCAUAGCCCUGCCUGGAUUGGGUUGUUGUAGUUAUUCAUUGACCUUAAUCACAGGGCAUGGUAAUACUAAAACACGCCGUAAGGGAUCUCCUGUAUUCCAGACAGUCUUCUUUACCUCCAUUGUGGAGUAGUAGUCCAAUUUGUCCUUGAUAGUCUGGAACAACCAUCCCAACUAUCACUAUACCUCCCUCCUCACCUGUUCAUUCAUGGGCAUGACGGGCCCAAAGUGGCAAGGUGGCAGUCUUAACUUCCAAUUCAGUGGAAUCAUUGUUGUGAUUCCUGGUGGAAGCAUUCUCCCUCUGAAACUAAAACUUCUAGGAGAGUAGAGUAUAAAGUCACAGGUACAGGAAGUAAAACCUUUGCUAGUGGAUUGCUAAGGGUAAUAGUGAGUGGUGCCACCCCCAUUUCCACCUCUUGGUUUCUGGAUCCUUGAAUCCUAGCUAUGGGAGAAAGAGCACCAUAUGCUGGAUGCAGACUCAGAGCUAUACAGGCUUCUGGAGAACCUUGCCCCCACCCUAUAAGGUAUUGCAACGUAGCUGAUGCUGUAAAUUAGUCUGCAAAAGGCCAUCACACUGUUCUACAUAUGCCACCUGCUUUAGGAUGGUGGGGAAUAUGGUAACUUCAGUAAAUUCCAUGAACGCAGGCCCAGUGCUGUACUUCUUUUGCUGUGAAGUGAGUUCCUUGGACAGAAGCAAAUGCUAUGUAGAAUACCAUGACAGUGGAUAAGCAUUCUGUAAUUCCAUGGGUGGUAGUUUCAGCAAAAGUGUUGUGUGCAAGGAAGGCAAACCCAUAACCAGAGUAAAUGUCUAUUCCACCAAGAACAAAACGCUGCCCCUUCCAUGAUAGAAGUGGUCCAAUGUAAUCAACCUGCCUCUAGGUAGCUGGCUGAUCACCUCCAGGGAACUGUGCCAUACUGGGAAUUCAGUGUUGGUUUCUGCUCCUGUCAGAUUGGACACUCAGUGGUGUCCAUAGCCAGAUCAGCCUUGGAGAGUGGAAGUCCAUGUUGCUGGGUCCAUGUAUAGCCUUCAUCCCUUCCAUGAGGGCUGUUUAUUUAAUGAGCCCAUUGGGCAGUGACAGAGUUAUCUGAAAAAAGAGGUUGACUAAGCCGGGCGCAGUGGCUCAUGCCUGUAAUCCUAGCACUGUGGGAGGCUGAGGCAGGCGGAUCACUUGAGGUCAGGAGUUCGAGACCAGCUUGGCCAACAUGGUGAGACUCUGUCACUACCAAAAAGUGCAAAAAAAUUAGCUGGGUGUGGUGGCAUGCACCUGUAAUCCCAGCUACUUGGGAGACUGAGGCGAGAGAAUUGCUUGAACCCAGGAAGUGGAGGUUGCAGUGAGCCGAGAUCACACCAUUGCACUCCAGCCUGGGUGACAGAGUGAGACCCUGUAUCAAAAAAAAAAAAAAAAAAAAAAGUUGACUAAUAUCUAUAGAAUGAGUCACCCUAUUCACUUGAUUAUUAAAAUUUGCCUCUGCUGAUAUCACCCUUUGGUGAGCAUUCACAUGGGACACAAAUCUCUUAAUCUUUUGCACAUUCAGAGAGGUUUAUCCAUAUACCUCUUCCCCAGAUUUCCUUGUCACCAGUUUUCCCAUCAUGUUCUUUCCAAGUCCCUGAUCAUCCAGCCAAAUCAUCGGCUACAGCCCAUGAAUCAGUAUAUUAUCACAUGUCUGGCCAUCGGUCCUGCCAAGCAAAGUGCACGACCAGGUGCACUGGCUGAAGUUCUGCCCACUGGGAAGAUUUCCUUCACCACAGUCCUUCAGGGAUGUCCUAGAAAGGGGCUACAGUGCUACAGCAUCCACUUUUGGGUCGUGCCUGCAUAUCCUGCAGAACCCUCUGUAAACCAGGCCUGAGUCUUCUCAUCCUCUGUCAGCUGAUCUGGGGAACUCCCCAUGAAGCCACAGGUGCAGGCUGGGAGAGAGAAGGCAACAUAGCAGGGUUAGGAACCGUGGGCAUUUGGGUCACUUCUUCAUGUAACUUACUUGUGCCUUCGGAACCUGCUCGGGCCUGAUCACAGAUACACCACUUCCAUUUGAUGAUGGAGUCUUGCUUUGUCCACCCAACUUUAUGGUGUGGUGGGUCAGAUAACACCCAGCUUAUGACAGGCAGCUCAAGUUGCAUGAUAAUGUCAUGGCCCAUGUCAAGCGUUCAGUCUCUGCUGAGGCCCGCUAGUAGGCCAAGAGCUGUUUCUCAGAAGGGGAGUAGUUAUCUGCAAAUGACAGCAGGCUCUUGCCAUGAAAUCUUAUACUCUCCACUGUGAUUCACCUAUAGGGGCCUGCCAAAGCCUCCAAGCAGCAUCGCUACCUGCCACUGACACUUUAAGCGCCACUGGAUCUGCUGGGUCAUGUGGCGCAAGGGGCAGAGCAGCUUGCACAGCAGCCUGGACCUAUUGCAGAACCUUAUCUUAUUCUGGGCUUCACUCAAAACUAGCAGCUUUGGGAGUUACUCAGUAAAGGGGAGAAACACACCCAAAUGAAGAAUAUGUUGCCUCCAAAAUCCAAAGAAGCCCAUUGGGCUUAUUUUGGUUGUAGAAAUGGCCAGAUGCAAAAUCAUAUCCUUCACCUAGAAGGGCUAUUUUGACAUACCCCAUACCACUGGAUGCUAGAAAUUUCACUGAGGUAGAGGCCUAUGAAUUUUAAUCAGAUUUGUUUUCCACCCUCUGACACACAAAUGUUUUACUAAUAAGUCUAGAGUAGUUGCUACUUCUUGCUCACUAGCAUAAUGUCAUUGGUGUAAUGGAUCAGUGUGGUACCUUGUGGAAGGGAAAGGCAAACGAGAUCCCUGCAAGCUAACUAAUGGACAUAGGGCUGGAGAGUUACUGUAUCCCUGCUGCAAAAUAACCGAAGGUACAUUUCUGGCCUUGCCAGCUGAAAGCAAACUGCUUCUGGUGGGUCUUAUUAACAGGGGUGGAGAGAAGGCAUUUGCCAGAUCAAUAGCUACAUACCAGGUACCAGGGGCUGUGGUAAUUUGCUCAAGAAAUGAAACCACACCUGAUACAGCAGCUGCAAUUAGAGUUAUUACCUGCUUACAAUAAUCCACUGUCAUUCUCCAAGAUCUAUCUGCCUUCUGCACAGGCCAAAUAAUAAGUGAAUUGAAUGCAGAUGUGGUAGGAAUCACCACCCCGUGUCCUUUAUGUCCUUGAUGGUGGCAUCAGUCUCUACACUCUGUCAAGGUAUGGCUCUUGGUUUACUAUUUUCCUAAGUAGAGGCAGUCCUGCUGGCUUCUACUUGACUUUUCUCAACAUAAUAGUUCUCAUUCCACAGGUCAGGGAACUAAUGUGGGGAUUCUGCCAGUUACCAAGUAUGUCUAUUCGAAUUUUGCAUUCCAGAAAAGGAGAAGCAACCACAGGAUGAGUUCAGGGACCCACUGGACUCACUGUGAGAUGGAAUUGAACUAAAACUCCAUGGAUCAGCUGACCUCCACAAGCCUCUCCUCUAACUCCUGGACCACAGUGACAUUUUGGGUCUCCUGGAAUCAGUGAGAGUUCAGAGCCAGUGUCUACUAGUGCCUGAAAGUUCUGAUUAUUUCUUUUUUCUCAAUGCAUAGUUAAUGCUGUAAAAGGCUAUAUGUAGGUCCCUUUGGGGAAGGCUAGGGGAACAUUAACAGGAUAAAUUUCGGGUAGUACACCAGAGUGGUUCCUCAACGGGGCCCAUCUUCCCCUUUAUCCAAGGGGUUUCGAGGCUGUAGGCUGGCUCAAGUCUGGGAAUUGAUUGAGGGGCUAUGACUCUCUGCUUCUACAAUUCACGUUAGAUUUUUGUUCACUUAACCUAGAAUUUUCCACUUGUACACAUCAAGUAAGAAUUUGGUUGGCUUCCUAUCUAUUUCACUUCUAGGAACACCAUGGUCAGCUAGCCAACACCAUAUACAUGCGCGUGCACCCCCCCACACACACGCACACACACAUCCCCGGCACCAGGCCAGGAAUUUUUAAUUCUGAAGGAACAUCUCCCUCAGCUGUUUCUGCCAGUCUGAGGUGAGCAGUGGGCAUGGGGCUGGGGAGGGAGGGGCCAAGGCGUGCAUCUGCGUUACUGCAGACGUCCACGUUACUGCAUGUGUCCACAUUACUGCAGGUGCAGGUUGGAGCCCCCACCCAGACCCGCACCAGCUGCUGCCAUCUCUCAUGCUCAGUCCCAGGACAGUUAUUCUCAGCUUUCCCGGACACCUCCCUGUUCCCACUAGAUGCAACAGCACAGCUAGUUCCUGCUGCAUGGUGCUCCCAGCUUCUGAGUCUUUAAAGAUUUGUUUUUAGAGAUGAGGUCUUGCCAUGUUGCCCAGGCUAGUCUUGAACUCCUGGCUUCCAGUCACUGGGGUCAGGCCCUGCAGGAAAUUGGUACUGCUCGGAUGGGAGGCAGGAAUUGGUACAGCUAGGAUGGGGCAGGCAAGGCAAGUCCCAUUCGAUAGACUGUGGCCCACCGAGUGUAUGCUCUGCACUUGGAAUCCGGAAUGAUGAGGGGGCUAAGGACCAUGACAUAAACUGGAAAUAUUUAACCUAGAAAGACUGUUCUUAGAGACAUUGUUAUGUUUGAGUAAUAAAAGCUAGUACUUACUGGGCUCUAAGUUUGUGCCAGGCAUAGUGCUAAGUGUAUUAUGUGCUUAAAAAAAUUCUCAAAGGCCCCAUUUUACAGAUGUGGAAAUCGAAGCACAGGGAAGUGGAAAAUCACGGUUACUCUACCACAGUAUGAAUUCCCAUGGGCAGGAUCCCCCAAUGGAUGCUGAAGUGAAUGGGCAGAGCUAACUCAGAGAGCUAGGGGUGGCAGGGCUAACAUCUGAGCUCAGGUUUUUCUGAUUCCAAUUUUUUAACUGCCACAUGUGGGGAAUUAGAUUUUUUUUUCUUUUUUUACUACACCUCAUGGUAAAAUUUGGAUCCAUAGGUGGCAGCUACAGGGAGAUGUAUUUCACCUCAGUAUAAACAAUAUCUUUCUAUUUCCACCAUUCAAAAAUGGAGUAGGCAGGCAGCUUUAACAGGUAGUGAGUUCACCAUCAAUGGUGGCAAACAAACUGAGCAUGUAUCGGGGACACUACAGAGGGAUCCAGCACUGAUUAGACAAUCAGGAUUGCAGAGUGACCUUUUUGGGGUCAUUUAGAAAAUGUGUGAGUGGAAGAAGGGAGGAAGGUACCAGCCAAGGGAGACUCUAAAAUCUGCGAGCAGAAUGGCAAACUGUGAUUGCUGAAACGUUAUGGCCACAGCCAAGGACUCUAGGCACUGCCAGAGAUGGGGGGCUGUAAGGAGGCAGCAUGUGACAGGGUGAAGAGUGGGCAGUUUUGGGAUCAAGAUCCCAAGGGGCACAACGUCUUUGUAAAUCCUCCACAAAAGGCCUUCCACAGAAACUUUGUACUUCAAAAUUCCAGCCCUGGUAGGUCAUUCCCUUGGCUUCAGACUUUUUUCUUUGUUGAGAUGGAAGUUGAUUGGGGCUGAGUCAACUUAGCUAAGUGGGAGCUACAUUUCCCACAGUUGCCUUCCCAAUAUGCUUCCAUUUAGGGUUGGCUAUAAAGAGGAAUAUACAUGAGAUUCGGAAGGUGAAAUGAAGAAACAGCAAUUUUCAAGCUCUGAAGCCCAGCGUAAGAUGCCAAACACUGUGACUGGUCAUGGCUGUUGCGGUCCUGCUGCCUGGCCUCAUUGACAUGGGCAGCACCCAAGCCCAUAUCUCCUGCAGCUCCCUCCAGCCCUGCUACUCAGACUUCACCUAGUCCUGGGCCAGAUGCGAGCGCAGCUCCGUGGUGAAGUGCUCCAGUGUCUCUUGUAUCGUCCAGGUUGGAUGUAGUUCAAGACAGCUGUGGCUCCAGCCAGUGGGCAGCUUGUGGGCUCAGCCACAAUUGUCCUCUCGGGUUGCAGGGCACCUAUUGGGUCCCUGUUUGUCUUACUCUCCUCCACCUCACACCUUGAUUUCCCUCCUGAUUGCCAGCCUGGCCAACCUGUAAUGCCUACAGGCCCAACACCAGAAGUAAGGACCACAGUUUUGCCCAGACUUCUCUUCUUUACAUUUGUUUUUAGAGAUGAGGUCUUGCCAUGUUGCCCAGGGUAGUUUUGAACUCCUGGCCUCAAGUGAUUCUCCCACUGAAGCCUCCCCUACAUAGUCUUCUUAACCGGGUCUUACAAUUGCAUAAGGCCUAAUCCUUUUGUCAAAUGCCUUAUUCUGUAUCACUCAUAACAGUUCCGCUUCUCUGACUGAACUCUUUCCUAACUCACACGUAGCUGUCUUCCUCCACACACUGCCAAUCUUAUCAUUCUAUUCUACCCUGGCAUGUUACUGACUUUUAUUAGUGCCUUGCCAUUACCUAGAAAAUCAAGUCCACAUCCCUAAGGGUGGCAUUCAAAGCCCUCCAUCAGCUUUACCAAAGCCUAUCCUCUUAGCUGCUACACUGAACUGCUUUCCAGAAGGCCUGGGAAUGAAUCUGCCUCUGCCUCCUAUUAGCUAUGAAGCCUCGGGCUAGUCAAUUUCCACUGAACGUCAGUUUUCACAUCUAUAAAAUGGCAAAACCAUCCUGCAAGACUGAUGUUCUGCCCACACCACAGUUGUUUACUGCCUGUGUGUUCUUUGAUGGGUUGGUUCCCAUUUCUUGCCAGUUCUUGGAUAUUUUGAAUAGCACCCCGAAUUAUUUUUCUGUUGCUGCAUAACAAAUUGCCACAAACACAGUGGUUUCACAAUCCUUUAUUAUUUCGCAGUUUCUAUAGUUCAGAGUCUGGGCACAGCAGAGCUGGAUUGCCCGUUCAGGGUCUCACAAAGCAACAUCAAGGCGUUGGCUGGGGCCCCAUGGUGAUCUAGAGGAUAGGGUCCUCCUCUGAGCUCAUUCGGGAUGUGGGCAGAAUUCAGUUCCUUUUGUCUAUGGGGCAGAGUCCCUGUAUUCUUGCUGGCUCUCAGCUGGAGGUUGAUCUCAGCCCCUAGAGGCCAUGCUCAAGUCCUAGCCAUGUGGGCCUCUUCCAGCACGGCUACUCACAUCUGCAAAGCCAGCAGGAGAAUCUCUCUCCAGCCUGCUAGGACAGAGUCUUACAUAACACAACCCAGUCAGGGAAGUGACUCCCCAUCAUGUUCCCAGGGCCUGACCGCUGGGGAGGACCCAAUGGGAGGAGAUUUUACAGAGCAUGUGCAUCGGGAGCUGGGAAUCUUGGGGCUACCUUAGAAUUCUGUCCAGCACAAACCCCGUUACCUCUCAGCACUGUGAGUUGAAAAAAAAACAAAAGGGCUUAGCAUAGGGCCUGGCCUGCUGUUUGUCUUUUAUAUAUAUUCAUUAAAUCUCUUUCUCUGACUUAUUCAUGAUUACUGGAGGGCAAAGGAUCCCACCUUGUUGUUUUCUCUGUAUCUCCAGCACCUGGCAUAUGGCACGCCCAGGACCCAUGGUCCCCUGCGAGUGGAAGGAUAGAUACAAAUGGAGACAGGAAGCCUGUGUGGUCAAUAAGGAAGCCCAGUGCAGGAUUUAUGAAGUUGUUUGUAAGGUUUCAAGACCCUGGUGGUGCUCGUUCUGCAUUCAGGGUUGUGCUUUUCCUGCCCUCCAUGACCUUGCUUGCCUUUGAGAUAGCAACUGCUCUUUUGGAAUUCAUCAACAGAGGACUUUACAUUUGAAAGCCUUUUAAACUCCAAGACUGAACAACUGCCAGAGGGAUUUUGCUGCUGUGACCAGACACUUUCAGCUGGAGAGACACUUUCAGGUGGGGGUUUUCCUAGCUCUUCUGAGCCACAGUUGGUUGUCCAUGACUGGAUUUGUCCCUGAAUGUACACAGGUUGGCCUGAAACAAUAGGACCAUGAGUCACCCAAGAGUGGAUAGUGAGUGAAUCGGGUGUCCGUUAUCUCCAGGCAUCCAGGGGACAAAAUGAAAAGCCAUGUAGUCCAUCUGUCUCCGACAGAGAAGACAAAGCACCAACCUCUGUUCAGUCCUUUUACUCAAAAAUAUUUCUUCAGUGUCCCUCUACACACCUUGCCUCCAAGAAAAAAUAUGGGCAGCCUGGAAUAGUGGGUGGGACCUGGAAUCUGUGUCAAAUGUUGGCUGAGCUCCUCAAUGACGCAAACUUAGCUCCUUCCCGUUUCCUGGUGCUGCCCGACUCCAGAGAUGCUCUGGCGUCCCUCCUUACUGGUUGCCAUGCUGAGAUGAUGGGGAUCACGGGUGCUGACCAAUGUUAAAGAUAGGUAUGAGGUAAAAAGCAUUCAGGGAAGUCUUAAGUGUCUGCCAUUUCCACAUUUCCACCUAAGGAAGCAACCCCAGGGCGAUUCCUUGGCAUUGGUUGCCAGGCUGUGAGUGUUGGCUGAUCCUGGUGCCCUAGCCACCACUGGGGGACUCGUGAUUACCCAGUUACUCCCUGCAAAUGCUGGGUGGGACUAGAACCAACCACUUGCAGUGACAUUGAGAUUUAGAAUCAGAUAUUCCUGGUUCAAAUCCUGCCUCUACCUUGUACUAGCUGUGUGACUUUGGGAAAGUCAUUUAACCUAUCUAAUAUUUGUUUUCCUCACUUGGAAAAUGGAAAUAAUAAUAAGCCACCUGUGACAAUUCAUUGGAAGUACUUGGUGUGGUGUCUAAACUAAGCCUUCUUUAUAUGGUAGCAAUUGAUCAUCAUCAUCAUCACCAUCUUAAUGGAAACAACCAACAUGUGAAGUAGGAUGAAGAGAGGUUCAUCCUAAUCCCCAUUCUGCAGAUGUGGAAACUGAGGCUCAGAGAGGUUAAAUCUGACUUGCUUUGGGUUACAUACACAAGUACAGCUGGAACUUCAAACCUGGGUGUUCAUUAACCUGGCACCUCCUUGAUUGCAUCCUGUUGACCCCCACUUCAUGGGCCUCUCCUUCCCAUCUCCUGGCCCACUCCGACUGUGGAGGUCAUAGGUAACCCUUACUAAGUUUAUGUGUAUGUCCUGCUGCUCUCGCUUCCUGGAUCCUGCACAGCAGACAGCCAAGUGUAGGCUGGGACAGCUCCAAGCAGGAAAGGGGAUGUUGGCUGGAUGCAGUGGCUCACGCCUAUAAUCCCAGCACUCUGAGAUGCCAAGGCAGAGGAUUGCCUAAGCCCAGGAGUUCAAGACCAGCCUGGGGCAACAUAGUGAGACCCUGUCUCUACAAAAAAUAGAAAAUUAGCCACAUGCCUCUAGUCCCAGCUACUUGGAAGGCUGAGGUGGGAGGAUCGCUUGAGGUCAGGAGGUCAAGGCUACAGUGAGCCAUGACCACAUCACUGCACUCCAGUCUAGGCGACAAAGCAAGAACCUGUCUGAAAAAGAAAAACAAAUGGGAAUGCCUUCUUGGCUUGGGUGUGUCUCCUGAGCCCAUACAUACUUGCCUACCUGUUUUUGUGACCCUUGGCCCUCCUGGAAAAAUUGGUUUUGUUUUCAGCGACUCGGCAGCCAGCAUCCUGAGGAGUGAGACACAUUUGUCCCUGUGUAACCCCAUUGCCACUGUCAUCACCAUGCAUAGCAUCAGCCAGUAGUAAUGAGCAGCUAUUUUGAGGCUGGGGGACAGCUGUUUCCCCUAAGCUUUCAGAGGGCUGGGAUUCUGCGUGCAGAGACUUCCCUCCCCAUCUGUCUGUCACCUGACAGAAUAGGCUGUGACUUGGUAAUACCUUCUCGCCACCCCAAAAUUGUCCUACUUUCACCCCUCACUCCACCAGGAGGGAGAUGGAACAUGCCUGGGACCAGUCAGAGGCCAGUUUUGGGUCAUCUUCUGCAUCCAUCUUUGCUGUGUAACAGACCACUCCCAAACUCAGUGGCUUGAAACAUCAAUGAUUUAUUUCUCACCAUUCUGCAGGUUGGUUGGAUGGUGUUUCUGGUCCUCACUGGUUUGGCUGGGACUGGAUGGUCUGGAGUCCCUCACUCACAUGUCUGAGUCCUCAGCUGGGACAGUGUAUUCAUCAUGCCUUUUUAUUUUCUGUAUUUUUGAUUAUUUGACAUCUUGGGGUCUUCCUGACCCUGGAGAGACUGGUCCGUCUAGGGUGAGCCAAUUCCUACAGAUGGUAAAUGACUCUCCCUUCCAUAUGCAAACUGAACAAGACAGAGCCCAUAGCCCCAGCCACUCUGUUACAGAGCUCUGAUACCCUGUGCCAUUAUUUUCCUACCCCAAUCACCUUACAGCCAAGUACCAGACAACUAGAGACAGCCCUUAUACCUCAGAGCCAAAUGAAAUUAUCCAAACUAGCCCAUCUUAAACCUGCUUACCCUUCCUCACCUGUUCCUUCCCAGGAAACCAAAAUAGAGGUUCUUGCCCCAUUUUCCUCUCACUCCCUCUGCCCCUGGAUGGACCCUGGUGCUUCCCCAUUUGGUCCCCUGCAAUGUGGGAUGCUCCAUCUUUUAGGAUCUGUGGGUAACAAGCCAUUUUUUUCCAAUGGCAGUCAUCUCCUGAUCUGAUACCCUCAUCAUCCCUGAGUAAUAAUACAGCCAACAUUUAAAACAGACAGCAGCUGGGAUGGCUGCAUCUUUCUCUCCACGUGGCCUCUCAUGCUCCAGGGAGCUAACCUGGGCUUCUCCCUAUGUGAUCUCCACGUUCCCAGCUCAAGAGAGGGCAAACCUCAAUGUGUCAGCACUUUCAAAACUUCUGCCUGAGUCACACUUGCUAAUGUCCUAUGGGGCAGAGUAUAUCACAUGGCUGAGCCCAGAUUCAAAGAAUGGAAAGCUAUAGACUCCUCAUCUUAAUGAGAGGAACGGCAAAGUCCCAUCAAAGGGAUGUGCAUAUAGAUGGGAAGAAUUUGUUGUCAUUUCAUAAAGUCUACCAUAUGCUGUGCUCACUGUGCCUUUGGGCAAGUGGCUUCCUAUUCCUUAACCUCAUUUUCAGCAGCUUCAUAAUGGAAAGAUAAUCCCUGAUCCUCACAGGGCUGCUGAGAGGGUCAAAACACCAAAACACCACAGUCCAGAGAGUGCCAUGGUAAUGUAAAGGUUUGCUGUUAUCUGACAUUCAUACCAUAGAUGUCACAUUUUGAGUUAAGAAAGAUCCAGGCGUUUGGAUCUUAAAAAAUGAUUUUUUCCAGCCUGGGCAACAUGGCAAAACCUUGUCUCUACAAAAAAUACAAAAAUGAGCAGGGCAUAGUGGCACGUGCCAGCUACUCAGGAGGCUGAGGCAAGUGGAUUGAUUGAGCCGGGGAGGUCAAGGCUGCAGUGAGCUGUGAUCGUGCCAUGGUACUCCAGCCUGGGAGACAGAAAGAGACCCUGUUUAAAAAAAAAAGAAAAGAAAAAGAAAAAUAUUUUUGUUAUCAAAAUCAUAUAGCUUAGUUUCUUAAAAUUUAGGUUGGAGAGAUCCUCACAAGUGCUUGACAAGAUGUCACCCAUCUUUAUAAGAAUGUGUUCUAGAUAAGAACACAUAUACUUAUGGUAUUAGUUGAGGUUCUUGAUCCUAUCAGUGUCCCACUUCUAGAUCCUGGGAAAGAAAAUCUGGAUGGCCAAGUUUGAAGCAAGUGGAUAAACCUGGUCAAACCAUGCCAAUCAAAGGGGCAUGCCAUGGGUACCAAAUAUUGUUUUAAGUCUGUAUUGACUCUACUCCUUUAAGCCAGCUGGACACGCUCAUAAUCAUGCAACCAACAGACCAUAAAAGCAAGUGGUCAAUACCCACUCACUGUCUUCUUGCCCCAGACCUUUCUUGCUGCGUUCUGACUUGCUCUGACUUCCCUCCAGGUCCUGUCUAAUUCCUGACCCCUGGCUCUCUUGCAUUUGUUACCUUGCCCUUGUACCCUCCCACUUGGUGUUUUUCCUCUGGAAUUUCCAGAAGGCUUUUUGCUUACAGACACCUUCUAGCUCUUUUGGAUUUGCUUGAGAUUCGGAAAGGCUGCUUGGGACUUCACCUGCAGCCUUUGUCCUCCCACUCCACUACGAGAUGCAGGGAGUUAGACUACCUAUGUGUCUGUUUCUCUGAUUAGACUAAAAUCCCCUUGAGAGCAGGAACCAUCUCUCUAAAUAACCAGAUAUUACUUGUCACUUUGUUCCUUCAUACAGAACUAAGGGAAUCAAGUGAAACAUAGAACCAAGAUAUUCUAGAUUUGUGCUGGAAUUGCUAAUAGAUGUGUGUUGUUUUGUGGCUCCCAGCUUUCCAAACUCCCGUUUUUCAGGAAUCCUUUGUUGGCGACAGGCACAGUCCUGUCUCCCUCUUCAGAGGGCUAAGGGGGCCAGACAUUCCCUUUUCUCAGCCCCUGGCCUCUUGGCCAUAUGGGACCUAUGCUUGGCCAACCAGAUGCUCCCAACUUGAACUUUGAAUCUUAAGGGAGUCUCACAGGGACAAGGGCCACGUGAGAAAUUCAGUGGUUAUAUGUGAUUCAUGCAGGAGCAGCGGGUAAGCAGAAGGCUCAGCACAGGUCUCUAGCAGCAGCUGUGCCAGCAUAAGUGAUCUAACCCAGCUAUUUCAGUGGCCCCACCUGGGGAGUGUUUUGCCACCUGGCCUCCUAGUUUCCUGACUACUUUUUGAGCGUGGUUCUCCAUUAUUCUGAUAGAUUCAGAGACCAGUGCAAUAUCCUAUUAAUAAAUGCCAUCUUUCGGUGCAGCAA